UGUAAGCGUAUACCAAAGUUGUUGCAGUUAAAACGCUCGUAGUCGGAAUUUGGCAGUUCCGGAUGUGUGCACGUCGUGUGCGCACUUCGCGGGGAUUGCUUUUGUGGUCUUGCGUAGGAUGAGGCACUUUUAUUAGUGACCGUCCUCACGCAACCACUUUUUACUGUGAGAAAAUCAGAGUGCUCAAAGCAGGCAUUUGCCGUGAAUGUAUUAGCAUGGAAUAAUAGAAUAGGACUUGGUUCUAUUUUGUUGGUUUGUUGGGACUGAGUAAUGAUUAAGAGGGACAGUUGGGGGCAUUUGUAUUUCGGUGCUAGAGGUGAAAUUCUUAGAUUACCGAAAGACAAACUGCUGCGAAAGCGUCUGCCAAGGAUGUUUUCAUUGA
rnacentral:rRNA from 1 species